rnacentral:lncRNA from 1 species
CAGUGAUUCAGAAAAGUUGGGGAGGGACAUCUACUAGAAAGCUCAAUCUGAACAAAGCUUCUUUAAGGACAAUUUAAAUAGUUGCAUGAAACAAACAUUUUUAAAAAAAUCAUCAAAAGAUUAGUAUCUGGAUCAGCCAAACGGCUUUUCACAACUCCCUCCUGGUCACCAAAGGCAACACCGGAAAUUUCAAGUAAGAAGCAGCUUCCUGGUCCAGCAUCACUCAAUGGGGACAGGAUAUUACUGAGAUCACUGAUGGAUGACCUGUUCCUGCUCUUGUCUGCCCUUUUGUCCCAUGAUCAUGAGGCA